AGGGGUAUCGCCAAGCGGUAAGGCAUUAGACUUUGACUCUAACAUUCGUAGGUUCAAAUCCUGCUACCCCUGCCA
rnacentral:tRNA from 1 species